rnacentral:rRNA from 1 species
CAGUAGCCGCGGUAAGACAGAGGAUGCAAGCGUUAUCCGGAAUGAUUGGGCGUAAAGCGUCUGUAGGUGGCUUUUUAAGUCGGAUGUGAAAUCCCUGAGCUUAACUUAGGAAUUGCAUUCGAUACUGGGAAGCUAGAGUAUGGGAGAGGAUGGUAGAAUUCCAGGUGUAGCGGUGAAAUGCGUAGAGAUCUGGAGGAAUACCGAUGGCGAAGGCAGCCAUCUGGCCUAAUACUGACGCUGAGGUACGAAAGCAUGGGGAGCAAACAGGAUUAGAUACCCCCGUAGUCCCUGUCUCUUAUAC